rnacentral:rRNA from 1 species
AGUGAACGCUGGCGGUAGGCCUAACGCAUGCAAGUCGAACGGCAGCACAGUAAGAGCUUGCUCUUACGGGUGGCGAGUGGCGGACGGGUGAGGAAUACAUCGGAAUCUACUUUUUCGUGGGGGAUAACGUAGGGAAACUUACGCUAAUACCGCAUACGACCUACGGGUGAAAGCAGGGGAUCUUCGGACCUUGCGCGAUUGAAUGAGCCGAUGUCGGAUUAGCUAGUUGGCGGGGUAAAGGCCCACCAAGGCGACGGUCCGUAGCUGGUCUGAGAGGAUGAUCAGCCACACUGGAACUGAGACACGGUCCAGACUCCUACGGGAGGCAGCAGUGGGGAAUAUUGGACAAUGGGCGAAAGCCUGAUCCAGCCAUACCGCGUGUGUGAAGAAGGCCUUCGGGUUGUAAAGCCCUUUUGUCGGGAAAGAAAAGCAGCAGGUUAAUACCCCGCUGUUCUGACGGUACCCAAAGAAUAAGCACCGGCUAACUUCGUG